rnacentral:lncRNA from 1 species
UGCGGUGUCUGAUGUGCAUGCGAAGUAGAGGGUCUGCAUAUCCAGACCUCUGUGAAGGUUGAUAUCAGAUAAUUUGAGAUUUGAUCUCUGGUUCUACUAUGAUUUAGGUAGAUAUUUGAUCUAUAAAUAACUAAACUAUUAAAAAAAAUUUUAGAUGCAACCUGGGCAUUCUGGAGGAAAACUGUUUUCUUCCCUUCAACUGGU